CACAGCGGCCAUAACGCGACUCUGGAGUCGCUGCGGCCCGCCUGGCGCCCUCUGGUGGCCUAGCGACGCUUCCCCUCGGAGCGUUCCGCGGGGUCGGAAGAUCUUCUGAGGAAGAUGCUUCUUCUGGAUCACUGUCUCUUCAUGGUGCACUCAAUGUAAGACUCCAGCAGGAAGAUGGUUUCGUCCACCUGGAUUUCACUGGCAUCCAACCUGAGUGAAAAACAGGGUCUCACUCUGUCACCCAGGUUGGAGUCAGUGGCAUGAUCUCAGCUUACUGCAACCUCCGUCUCCUGGACUCAAGUGAUCCUCCCACCUCAGCCUCCUGAGGAACUGGACUACAAGCAAGAAUCAUUACAUCUGGCUAGUUUUUGUAUUUUUGGUAGAGAUGGGGUUUUGCCAUGUUGCUUAGCUGAUCUUGAACUCCUGGGUUCAUGCAAUUCACCUUCCUCAGCCUCCCAAAGUCCACCAUGCCUGGCCUCUUUUUACUUCAUCAUCAAUGCAGUUCACUGAAUAUUCAUAGAAAAAUUUAUUUAACAAUUACUUCAAUUUUCUAAAUUAUUUAGUAUAAUAAACAUUACCAAAUCUUUCUUUCCUAAGGCACCAUUCUGAUUUAUAGGUCAGGCUGCCUGACUCUAAGGAAAUAACUGGUAAGGAUACUGAUGACAUACAUUCCUCCACCACUGUCGCCAGACUUUCCAACAAACUCUAGCUAUUAAGAAAAAGAGAGAGUGUUAACUGAAUGGAAAGUCCAGUGAUUCUGUUUCCAAUGGAACAAAUCUAACCAAAAGUCUGUAGCAGGUAGCCCUCCUAUCAAAUGAUGUGGAGAAAUUGUCUGGGCUGGCUAGGUAGAGAAUAACUCUACAAGAGGAUGAUACUAGGUAUCAGUGCAGAAAUAAAUUAUCAACAGUACAGGCUAAAGAAAAAAGAAAAAAAGAAAAAACAGACUUACUGGA